GAUCACCGUCAACACCCGACACCUGGCACUCUCUCUUCUCCCCUCCUCCCUCUCUCUUUUUUUCUCUUGCUCCAAUUUCUGCUCUCCAGCUCGUUUGCCACGCCUAGCUUCCCACCAGAAGGGGAGAGAAUAGAGAGAAAUAGCACGCAACCCGGCCUCUCUUUCAUCGUGGUACGCCUUCCAUUUUUAGUUCCCCACUCUCCCUGGAGUGGGGGUUGCUUUCUUUCUUUCUCUCUGUUGUUGUUUCUAUUGCAAAAGAUUAGCACGAAAGAUCUCCGUUUAUUUUGCUCUCCCCUAUUUGAAAGUGAUAGGAUGUUAGGCAGUUUGUAGCUCUUUUAUUUCCAUUUCCUUCUUCUUCUUCUUCUUCUUCUUCUCUCUCUCUUUCUCUGUGCUGUGAAGAGCUGAUGGUAUAAGAGUGGGAGAGAGAGAGAAGGGAGGGGGGGCGAAGACUAUAAUCUAGAAGAUGAUUUUAGAUUUGUAGAGGCUGAGAGGGGUUACUUCAGAUCCACGGAAGCCAUGUGGUGAAAAGGCCCCCUCCCAUCUUUAAGUUGGUUUUCUUGUGAUCCUUCAACCCCUUCUUGUCGAGUGUUAGAUCAAUCAGCCUCCCCAUCAUUCAAUAGUUCGAGAUUUGUGCAUAAAAAGCGGCAGUGCUCAGAUCUUGGGCUAAGAGGCCAUUUCAUCGUGAUGAUGAUGAGGAGGAAGCUGUUAUUUAGCAAUGAGAGUUGACGUGAUUCUUGGGGUGGGCUGCUGCUGCUGCCGGUUUUCCAGUUCUUGUUGUUGUUUCGACCACGAGGACGCCUCAGGAGGUGGAGGCGGCGAUGGAGGAGAUGUCUCCGGUGAUUGCUUUGCCGAUUAACGUAGGCAAUUCGCUCCAGGAUAAAAAUCCAAUGGAGAUUAAUCGCCUCAAGUUGAUGACCGAUGCCUCGAGCAUGCUGUCUGAUCCGAUGGAAUCAGAAGCUGAGGCUGUGACCACGAAUGGAGGAGGGGGUGGCGACGAUCUGGAGGUACGGACGCUGCCUGGAAGCGACGAGGAAGACUCCGUGUCUGUUGGGCCCGAGCAGUCUCCUGAGAGCUCCAGUUCAGUAAUCAUGGAUGGCGGUGGCAUUGCGAGCGCUUUGGAAGAAUUCUCAGCUCUGGAUGCGGCUGAUACGACUGCAAUAGUGGUCUCUUGGGACAUGGUGAAGAGCAUUGCUCCGGGUGUUGAGAUCAUAGCCGGGGAUUCGGGUACGAGUUUGGUGACUGAGGGCGUCGCUGAUUCUGAUCUGAAACUAGCAGCGGCCCUUGUUGACCCGGCAGCUCAGGGUAGUCGUGCUUUCCUGGCGAAUUACGUGCCCCUUUGGGGUUGCACGUCUAUUUGCGGGAGAAGGCCGGAGAUGGAGGACGCCACAGUGGCUUUGCCAUGGUUUUGGGAAAUUCCAGCCCGGAUGCUAACUGCUGAUUGCUUGGUGGAAAGCACGAGUCCAAGUUUGAGUCACUUGCCUGCCCAUUUCUUUGGAGUCUAUGAUGGCCAUGGUGGUGCUCAGGUCGCUAACUACUGCCGGGAGCGCAUCCAUUUAGCAUUGAUUGAAGAGAUUAAAAAUCUAAACAGAAGUUUUGGAGAUAGCAGCGGGGACGAUUGGAAGAAGCAAUGGGAAAUGGCUUUCACUAAUUGCUUUCUAAAGGUUGAUGAUGAGGUUGGAGGGAAGGGUAGAGAAGUUGUUGGAAGCACGCUAGAUGCCUCUGAGGAGGGGUCAAGCUCUAGCCUUUCCUCUUUCGUCCCAUCAGAACCCAUUGCCCCGGAGACUGUUGGAUCUACCGCGGUGGUAGCUGUUAUUUGUUCGUCUCACAUUAUCAUUGCAAACUGCGGGGAUUCAAGGGUGGUACUUUGUCGUGGCAAAGAACCAGUGGCUCUAUCUGUGGAUCAUAAGCCCAACAGAGAUGAUGAAUAUGCCAGGAUUGAAGCAGCUGGAGGAAAGGUUAUCCAAUGGAAUGGAUACCGUGUGCUUGGUGUUCUUGCUAUGUCAAGGUCAAUUGAUGAAGAAUAUCUGUUCCUUUACAGAUCAAUUCAUCUCACACUUCACAGGUGGAUGUAAACUAUGCUUCUGUAUGGGAUCUAGUUUGUUUGUACAAGGAUGAUGAUCAUAUUCAUCCCAUGAACUGCUUUUGGAGGCCCUGCUGAUACCAUUUAAUUUGUGAAGCAAAUACUUCAGCAAUUUUUUUAUGCUCUACCUCACGAGGUUAUAAAUCUGGAUAUAUUCCAUUAUAACAGACUCGGAUCAAAUGGGACAGAUACUUAAAACCAUGGAUCAUUCCAGAUCCAGAAGUCACAAUUGUACCGCGAGUGAGAGAAGAUGAAUGCCUCAUAUUAGCCAGUGAUGGCUUAUGGGAUGUCAUGUCAAACGAAGAGGUUUGUGAUGCUGCUCGCAGACGGAUUCUUCUCUGGCACAAAAAGAAUGGUGUUACGGCCUCUACCGCGAGAAGAGGCGAAGGAGCUGAUCCUGCAGCUCAAGCAGCUGCAGAAUACCUUGAAAAACUUGCUCUCCAAAAAGGAAGCAAGGAUAACAUCACCAUUAUUGUUGUUGACCUGAAAGCCCAAAGGAAGUUCAAGAGUAAGACUUAAGUUGGUUAAUCAGCUGUCUUAGCUGAGUUAAAAGAACCCUAAGAUAUACCUUCACUUUAGUUUCUUAAUCCCGUUGAUACGUAAGCCCAUAUAUGUAUUUUUUUAAUUUGGGCUGCAAGGGCUGUAUGAGAAAUUAUAGGCUGUGUAUGUAUUAUAGGAUGUUUUAAAAUAGGUUUAUUUUCUAUUUUCAGUCCUAUAAUGAAGUAAUUUUCUCUCACCUGGGUGAUGUACUAGCUAUGUAAAUUUAAGUUGUUGGGGACCCUUCUGCUUGGCUGUAUUUGUGUUUGCCUCCAAGCUCCAUGGCUCUGUGAGGGAUAUUAAGAUUGAGUCUUUCUCUUCCCCCACCA